rnacentral:rRNA from 1 species
GGUUAAGCGACUAAGCGUACACGGUGGAUGCCCUGGCAGUCAGAGGCGAUGAAGGGCGUGCUAAUCUGCGAUAAGCGCCGGUAAGGUGAUAUGAUG